rnacentral:rRNA from 1 species
AGAGUUUGAUCAUGGCUCAGGAUCAACGCUGGCGGNCGUGCCUAAUGCAUGCAAGUCGAGCGCGGACCCUUUCGGGGGUNCUGCGCGGCGGACGGGUGCGUAACACGUGGGCAACCUGCCCUGGGGUGGGGGAUAGCCGUGGGAAACCGCGGGUAAUUCCGCAUACGUUCGGGUCUCGCCGGGAGACCGCGAAGAAAGGGAGCAAUCCCGCCCGAGGAGGGGCCUGCGGCCGAUUAGCUGGUUGGUGGGGUAACGGCUUACCAAGGCGAUGAUCGGUAGCUAGUCUGAGAGGACGGCCAGCCACACGGGGACUGAGACACGGCCCCGACUCCUACGGGAGGCAGCAGCAAGGAAUCUUCCGCAAUGGGGGUAACCCUGACGGAGCAACGCCGCGUGGGGGAUGACGCCCUUCGGGGUGUAAACCCCUUUUCUGCGGGAAGAAGGUGGGGCAACCCACUUGACGGUACUACAGGAAGAAGGACCGGCUAACUACGUGCUAGUANCCGCGGUAAUACAAGGGCG